UUCUGUUGUCCUUCAUUCCACCGGAGUCUGUCUCAUACCCAACCAGAUUUCAGUGGAGUGAAGCACAAGAGACA
rfam:Colinus virginianus strain Texas jcf7180006227044, whole genome shotgun sequence.